rnacentral:rRNA from 1 species
UACGUAGGGGGCAAGCGUUAUCCGGAUUUAUUGGGUUUAAAGGGUGCGUAGGCGGACUGUCAAGUCAGCGGUAAAAUUGAGAGGCUCAACCUCUUCCCGCCGUUGAAACUGGUGGUCUUGAGUGGAUGAGAAGUACGCGGAAUGCGUGGUGUAGCGGUGAAAUGCAUAGAUAUCACGCAGAACUCCGAUUGCGAAGGCAGCGUACCGGCAUCCAACUGACGCUGAGGCACGAAAGCGUGGGGAUCAAACAGG